rnacentral:RNase_P_RNA from 1 species
UGAGCUGACUGGGUAAUCGCUCUACUUGUAGAGAGGAAAGUCCGGGCUCCAAGGGCAAGAUGCCAGGUAACACCUGGGAAGCGCGAGCUUACGGAAAGUGCAACAGAAAAUAUACCGCCUUUUUAUAAUGGUAAGGUUGAAAAGGUGUGGUAAGAGCACACCGCAUGAUUGGUAACAUUUCAUGGCAGUGCAAACCCCAUCUGGAGCAAGACCAAAUAGAGAUUCUAUAGUGUGCCCGCGCUGAAUCUGGGUAGGUUGCUGGAAUCUUAUGGUGACAUAAGGUCUAGAUGAAUGAUUAUCCUCGACAGAACCCGGCUUAUAGGUCAGCUCAUUCC